rnacentral:piRNA from 1 species
UAGCAGAGGCGGUCUCUUGUCUAGCAGA